UCCAGACUCCUACGGGAGGCAGCAGUGAGGAAUAUUGGUCAAUGGUCGGGAGACUGAACCAGCCAAGCCGCGUGAGGGAUGAAGGUACAGAGUAUCGUAAACCUCUUUUGUCAGGGAACAAAGGCGGGGACGUGUCCCCGGAUGAGUGUACCUGAAGAAAAAGCAUCGGCUAACUCCGUGCCAGCAGCCGCGGUAAUACGGAGGAUGCGAGCGUUAUCCGGAAUCAUUGGGCGUAAAGCGUUCGUAGGCGGCAAGGUAAGUCUGAUGUUAAAGCCCGGGGCUCAACUCCGGUUCGGCAUUGGAUACUAUCUAGCUAGAAUGUGGUAGAGGUAAAGGGAAUUCCUGGUGUAGCGGUGAAAUGCGUAGAUAUCAGGAGGAACAUCGGUGGCGAAAGCGCUUUACUGGACCAUUAUUGACGCUGAGGAACGAAAGCCAGGGGAGCAAAUGGGAUUAGAUACCCGUGUA
rnacentral:rRNA from 1 species